rnacentral:piRNA from 1 species
UUGCAACCAUUGAAUAAUAGA